GAUGAAGAACGUAGCGAAAUGCGAUAAGUAAUGUGAAUUGCAGAAUUCAGUGAAUCAUCGAAUCUUUGAACGCACAUUGCGCCCGCCAGUAUUCUGGCGGGCAUGCCUGUCUGAGCGUCAUUUCAACCCUCAAGCAACUUCUGCUUGGUGUUGGGGAUCGGCCGUCAAACGCCGCCCCCGAAAUCUAUUGGCGAUCUCGCUGUAGCUUCCUAUGCGUAGUAGUAACAUCUCGCAUCUGGAGAGCGGCGCGGUCAUGCCGUAAAACACCCAACUUCUCAGGUUGACCUCAGAUCAGGUAGGAAUUCCCGCUGAACUUAAGCAUAUCAAUAAGCGGAAGA
rnacentral:misc_RNA from 1 species